UGCGUAGGCGGAUAAAUAAGUCAGUGGUGAAAUCUUUCGGCUCAACCGGGAAACUGCCAUUGAUACUGUUUAUCUUGAGUUCGGUAGAGGUAGGCGGAAUGUGUAAUGUAGCGGUGAAAUGCUUAGAUAUUACACAGAACACCAAUUGCGUAGGCAGCUUACUAUGCCGAUAUUGACGCUGAGGCACGAAAGCGUGGGGAGCGAACAGGAUUAGAUACCCUGGUAGUCC
rnacentral:rRNA from 1 species